GCUGAGGACCCCCAAAAGUGCCCUAAAUGGGGCUGAGGACCCCCAGAAUGCAGGAGGAACCCCCCAAACGUGUCCUAAAUGGGUCUGGGGAUCCCAAGAUGGGGCUCAGGACCCCCAAAAGUGCCCUAAAUGGGGCUGAGGACCCCCCAAAAUGGGGAGGGACCCCCAAAAUGGGUCUGGGGACCCCCAGAAUGAAGGGGGACCCCCAAACGUGCCCUAAAUGGGUCUGGGGACCCCAACAUGGGGCUGAGAACCCCCAAAAAUGCCCUGAAUGGGGCUGAGGACCCCCCAGAAUGAAGGGGGACCCCCAUAAUGGGUCUGGGGACCCCAACAUGGGGCUGAGGACCCCCAAAAUGGGUGGGGACCCCAUAACGUGCCCUAAAUGGGUCUGGGGACCCCAACAUGGGGCUGAGGACCCCCAAAAGUGCCCUAAAUGGGGCUGAGGACCCCCCAGAAUGGAGGGGGACCCCAAAUGUGCCGUAAAUGGGUCUGGGGACCCCAACAUGGGGCUGAGGACCCCCAAAAUGGGUGGGGACCCCAUAACGUGCCCUAAAUGGGUCUGGGGACCCCAACAUGGGGCUGAGGACCCCCAAAAGUGCCCUAAAUGGGGCUGAGGACCCCCCAAAAUGGACGGGGACCCCCAGCAUGGGGCUGAGGACCCCCAAAAGUGCCCCAAAUCGUUUUUGUCCCCUCCUGAAAAAGAGGCAGAGGGUUGUGGGGCUGCAGACCAUCACCUCUUUAUUGCUGUGUCCUCCACCCCACAACUGACCCCAAAAAGAGGGGUUCAUUCCUCCUCAGAGCCCCACACGGGUCUGGGGGUCUUCCACAGGUUUGGGAUCUUCUAUGGGAUUAAGGUCAUCUGUGGGGUUGGAGUCAUCCGUGGGUUUUGGUGACCCUACAAAGUUGGGGUCUUCCAUGGCGUUGGGUGACCCUACAACAUUGGGGUCCUCCAUGGGUUUGGGUGACCCUACAAAGUUGGGGUCUUCCAUAGGUUUGGGGUCCUCCGUGAAAUUGGAGUCCCCCAUGGGUUUGGGGUCUUCUUUGGGAUUUGGGUUCUCCAGAAGGUUUGGUGAUUCUUCAGCAUUGGGGUCCCCCAUGGGGUUGGGGUCCUCCGUGGUGUUGGGUGACCCUACAACAUUGGGGUCCUCCAUGGGUUUUGGUGACCCUACAACAUUGGGGUCCUCCAUGGGUUUGGGUGACCCUACAACGUUCGGGUCCUCUGUGACAUUGGGUGACCCUACAACAUUGGGGUCCUCCAUGGGUUUGGGUGACCCUACAACAUUGGGAUCCUCCGUGGCAUUGGGUGACCCUACAACAUUAGGAUCCUCCGUGGCAUUGAGUGACCCUACAACAUUGGGAUCCUCCAUGGGUUUUGGUUUUGGUGACCCUACAACACUGGGAUCUUCCAUGGGUUUUGGUGACCCUACAACAUUAGGAUCCUCCAUGGGUUUUGGUGACCCUACAACAUUAGGAUCCUCCGUGGCAUUGAGUGACCCUACAACAUUAGGAUCCUCCAUGGGUUUUGGUGACCCUACAACAUUGGGGUCCUCCGUGGCAUUGGGUGACCCUACAACAUUGGGGUCCUCCAUGGGUUUUGGUGACCCUACAACGUUCGGGUCCUCCAUGGUUUUGGGUGACCCUACAACAU
rnacentral:lncRNA from 1 species